AAUCAACGCUGGCGGCGCGCUUAACACAUGCAAGUCGAACGAGAAAGGGAGCAAUCCUGAGUAAAGUGGCGUACUGGUGAGUAACACGUGGAUAUCUACCUCUUGGUGGGGAAUAACCUGGGGAAACCUGGGCUAAUACCGCAUAAGUUCGUGAGAAGAAAGGCGCAAGUCGCCGAGAGAGGAGUCCGCGGUCGAUUAGGUAGUUGGCAGGGUAAAGCCUACCAAGCCGAAGAUCGAUAGCCGGCCUGAGAGGGCACACGGCCACACUGGCACUGAAACACGGGCCAGACUCCUACGGGAGGCAGCAGUGGGGAAUCUUGCACAAUGGGGGAAACCCUGAUGCAGCGACGCCGCGUGAGCGAUGAAGCCCUUCGGGGUGUAAAGCUCUUUUACCAGGGAUGAUAAUGACAGUACCUGGAGAAUAAGCUCCGGCUAACUCCGUGCCAGCAGCCGCGGUAAU
rnacentral:rRNA from 1 species